GACGAACGCUGGCGGCGUGCUUAACACAUGCGAGUCGAACGAAGAGCGAUGGAAGCUUGCUUCUAUCAAUCUUAGUGGCGAACGGGUGAGUAACGCGUAAUCAACCUGCCCUUCAGAGGGGGACAACAGUUGGAAACGACUGCUAAUACCGCAUACGAUCUAACCUCGGCAUCGAGGAUGGAUGAAAGGUGGCCUCUAUUUAUAAGCUAUCACUGAAGGAGGGGAUUGCGUCUGAUUAGCUAGUUGGAGGGGUAACGGCCCACCAAGGCGAUGAUCAGUAGCCGGUCUGAGAGGAUGAACGGCCACAUUGGGACUGAGACACGGCCCAGACUCCUACGGGAGGCAGCAGUGGGGAAUCUUCCGCAAUGGACGAAAGUCUGACGGAGCAACGCCGCGUGAGUGAUGACGGCCUUCGGGUUGUAAAGCUCUGUUAAUCGGGACGAAAGGCCUUCUUGCGAAUAGUUAGAAGGAUUGACGGUACCGGAAUAGAAAGCCACGGCUAACUACGUG
rnacentral:rRNA from 1 species